UAUUUUUUUGGUUUUUCUAUGCCUUAGAUGAAUGCAGACCCAAGAUUAUAUACAAUGCAACACACACUUCCUGAGCCCUCCCCCAAACUUAAAUAACACAGUCCACUGUGUGACCAAAUUUGGAAGAGAGUACUCAGGACAAAACACAUCACGAAAACAAAAUAAAAACAAGAGAUGGUAUAUUACAAUGGUGGAGUGAGGUGCAUACCUCAGUGGAAGAAGGAGCGGAGUUGGUCGUCAAUAGCUGCCUGUGAUUGCUCCCAGGCCAUCGAAGAAUCUCCCUGUUGUGUCUCAGCUUCCCCCUGGGGGUACUCGACCUCUGCUCCUUCGUCGCAGCCAGCACCGCUCUGAUGAUACUCGACCUCUCUUCUUCUGCUACGGCCAGCACCGCGGUCGCAUAAGCUACGGGACUGGAGAAGUCGUGUACUCCUGCUGCCAGACCGAGCGAGUGCAGCCUUCUUCUUUCUCCCGAGCUCCCGAGGCUCGAAUGAUGAAUGCCUCGCAGGGACUGGUGGGACUACUCGGUCACUAGGCUCAGGCCUGUGGUGACUUGGCUCAGGCCUGUGAUGACUUGGCCCUGGCGCGUCAUAUCUCCUCGAAGGCAUGUCCUGAGGACGCUCUCCCUGCGGAAUAGCUAUAGUAGAAGACAAGCAGCUUAUCUUGUCCGUCAGAAACGUGAUGGCUUUGAAGCACUUGAUAAGUAGCCUAUCUUGUUUCUUGCACCACCUCUGCAACUUACUGUUGUUUCUAUGAGCUUCACUCAAGCUCUUGCUCUCUGGCGCUGGAGGUACGUGCUCACUGAAAUGAUACAUGCUCGUAUCAUACUCCUCCUUCCUAUCCUCAUCCGUCUCAGCAAUAUCAUCCUCUGUAGCUUCCGUCGUAAGGACAUUGUCAUCAGUCGGUGUAGCGCUCUCAAAGUAGAGGUAAUCACGCGCAGGUCUAAAGUCAUUGUUCUCACCCUGAAGUAUGGUUGUGGCCUCGAUGCAGGGAAGCAAAAUGUUGGCUGUUCAGGUCAGGGAGUGCUCGAAUUUGUAGCGAUAGAAAUCGCCAACCAUGUCGUACUCCAGAAACUCACAACGACGCAAGUGAUCUAAAUCCAUCAUCCUCGGAUCAAACCCUAGAGACGUGAGAGGUACACCACAUGCAAUCAGAAUCAGUGUCACAACGCCACCUACAGAAAGGGCUCCUCGCACCUUCUUCCUCCCGUUGGUGUGCGCCCACUUCCUGUAUCCACACAGGUGGAUCAAUAGAAGCAUGACCGGUGGUGUAUCAUUAAGGUCGCCCUUUGGGACCUUCUUCCCCUUUGUUCUCCGGAGAAUGCCCUUGAGUGCAGAAUCAAUCAUCUCCAUGUCUGUGUUAGACACGGUGCCUGUAGAUUCCCUGGGGUACAGAACAUUCGCUACUGAGCGCUGAUAGUAGCGGAUCACAGGGCUUCGAAUCUGGUUGCUCUUAGACCUUGCAGAGUUGAGUGCCAAAUCGUUCCCAAUGGUUAACCACUAAUCCUUCAACUCUUCCCUCUCGAACUUGGGUUUAGUUCCCUUUCCACUGGGAAAACCAAAUAAUCCUUCCAAGCUCUUGAUAGAUAGCUGGUAACGCUGCUCGUUAACUGAAAAAGUCAAGAACCCCAACCCUUCACUCUCCAGCUCAUCUGCAGUAAGUCUCUGAUACAUCUCCACUUGCAGAGUGGAGAGAAACUCUAUUGUUUCCUUCCUGUAAGCGACGUACGGGUAAGACAUCAGCGUCUCCAGAUGGCACCUCUCGAAUAAGUGCUGUACGUCCUCCAGUAGCCCCUGCUGGGCUAAAGUCUCAUAACAGGGGUACCUCGUUCCCCAGAAGUCGUUCAGCUCGAAAAGUCUGAUGUACUCCUCCAUUGUAACUUCAUCAGGCUUGUUCAACAGCUUCGUUUCUCUGUGCCAUGACUCAGGCUCAUACUCGACGUCAAUAUCUUCGUCGAUCAACUCAUAUCUGCUGGUCAUUGCUCUCUUUCCUCUAGCAAUCUCAGCUCUCCUUUCAUUGCGUCGAGCUACUGAGCGUUGGGUCUCAGCUUUGAAGCUCUCAUAAGCCUGUCGCUCUCUCUCUGGUCCAGUUGACCAAGAUUCAGCUUCAUCGACGUUGUAAUCCGCAUCCAUGGAGGAUUCGCCACUAUAGUUACUCAUAUUGAUUCCCUGAAAAAGAAUGUAACUCAAAACCAAAUAUCAAUAUGUUAGUUCAAAUAAACACAAAUACUAAACCAGUCAAGUACGCGGUCGAGUGAAACGGUCGAGUACACUGAGAUUGUGGCUUCGGGUAUAGCGGUCGAGUGUAGAAGAAUGAGAGACGUAACAGCGUGGUCGAGUAAACGGCAAAUUUAGAGAAGACGGUGGCGGUUUGAGGAGCGGUCGAGUAAAGAGACGAAUGGAGGCGCAGUGAAUGGCGAGGUCGAGUGAACGGCGAGAAGCUCCGGCAAAGUCGAGUUGGCUCGCGAGAACGAGAGAGAGAAACUCUGGCCGUUUGUCGAAAAUCGAAUGAAGAGCUUCUUUGUCCAAAUUGCGAUGUGGUCGAGUGAAUGGUGGAAGCGGAGAUGAGGUCGAGUAGCGGUCGAGUGAGAAGGAGACGAUGAUGAGACGGUGAAGUUUUCGGCGAAGUAAAGGGCGGAGUGGUCGAGUGAACGUCGAGUGGUGAGAAAGAAGAGAACGACGAGGGUGGAGUGCUAUCGUCGAGUGAAGGAGAGUGAAAAGAAGGCGGAGGCGUGAGCGGUGAGAGCUGGGACGGCGAGGUCGAGUAAGCGGCGGAUGGAGAAGAGGACGUUGCAAUCGAGUGAAUGGGAGGCGGUGAGAGAGAUGACGAGUGAGGUUUGGUCGAGUAAGAGGGAGGGCGACAAAGCAGCGAGGGAUGGUGAAGUCGGAGGGGAGAGAUCGAGUGAACGGUGAGGUCGAGUGUGAUGGUGCGGUCAAGUGUUUGGAGAGGAAGAGAGAUGGUGAGGUUUGGUCGAGUGAGAAACGUGAGGUAGAGUGAAUUUUCUUGGUCGAGUGUUUGGAGAGGGAGAGAGAUGAUGUCGGUGAGAGAGGAUAAGGUGAGAUCGAGUGGUGGGGAAGGAAGGAAGAGAUUUUGCUAUCUCUUAAAACGCGUGGGGGAACAAAGGUGAGAGGUGGUGGGCCACGUUCUAUCUAUUUGUCCUGAAGCACUGUUUUCUGUUGACUAGAACCUUCUGUAAUCCUCUGUAAACUUGUUAAACUCCCUGUAAGUCUCUGUAGCUUCUGUUGGUCGAGCAUAGAUAUGAUUUCAAAAUUUUGGUUUUUAGAAUCAUCACUAAUACUCGACCAGUUUACUCGACCUCAUGGCCUCUAAGUGCAACAGAGGUUUUUUCAAAUUCUUGAAUUUUUGGAAUACUCGAUCCCCUGUUGCUCUGUAGAGUAAAAUUUUUAAAUUUUUACUCUACCUCCACGCUGUUUCUCUGUUCCUGAGAAUCACAAACACAACCAAAAACAAAUCAAAAAUAACGAGAAAAUAAAAGUUUUAUUUACAGAAACAGUCUUGGGAAUUCCUCCCAAGUGAGCUUGUUUAAAGUCUCUAGCUUGACUCCUCACACUCAUAAAGAAGAAAAUGGGUGAUAGAGAGGGUCUGCAUAGUCCUCUCUGAUCUCAUCAUCAUAUUCAGCAUCCUCUCUUGAGAGAUGAGUAGCCGAAUACUCAAUUCUUCUUUCCUCGAAAUAGGCCUCUUUCUCUUCUGGUGGAUAAUCUAUCUCCUCAGACCAUCUUGAAGUAAUCUUUUUUCUCGGGAUAGUGUUAUUCCCGCAUUUGGAUUGAGCUAUCUCUUACAUCUGAUCCAGUUUACUCUUAAGUUCCUCAACUGUCUGAGCUAGCUUCUCUAUGGUCUCUUCUUGCUCAUCAGAUUUCUUUUUGAGAUCUCGCAAGUCGGGUGUAGAGGCUGUGCUUGGUCUGGUGAUUGAAUUUGAAGGCUGAGGUUGAGCCCUGAUCCUUUCUUCUAAAGCUGACCUUUGCGAAGUUUCGUUGAUGUCAAACUGCAGCUUGAUGUGCUUCCCAAGGUUGAGACUUAUUCUCCCAUCUUUGACAUCUAUCAUCGCUCCCACUGAGGCUAAGAAAGGUCUUCCCAGGAUUAGAAGAUCCUUAGGUUCUGCUUCCAUAUCAAGCACAACGAAAUCCGUAGGCACUUCCACUCCAUUAAUCAUUACUGGCAGAUCUUGUAGAAGGCCGAAGGGUUUUCUUGAAGACCUAUCAGCAAGGAUUAAAGUCAGGUCGCAAGGCUUGUACUGAGUGAAUUCCAGCUUUCUUG
rnacentral:sRNA from 1 species